rnacentral:rRNA from 1 species
UGGGAAUAUUGCGCAAUGGGGGAACCGUGACGCAGCAACGCCGCGUGAAGGAUGAAGGCUUUCGGGUUGUAAACUUCUUUGAUGAGGGACGAAAGAAAUGACGGUACCUCAAAACAAGCCACGGCUAACUACGUGCCAGCAGCCGCGGUAAUACGUAGGUGGCGAGCGUUGUCCGGAAUUACUGGGUGUAAAGGGCGUGUAGGCGGGGAUGCAAGUCAGAUGUGAAAUGCCGGGGCUUAACUCCGGAGCUGCAUCUGAAACUGUGUUUCUUGAGUGCCGGAGAGGAAAGCGGAAUUCCCAGUGUAGCGGUGAAAUGCGUAGAUAUUGGGAGGAACACCAGUGGCGAAGGCGGCUUUCUGGACGAUAACUGACGCUGAGGCGCGAAAGCGUGGGGAGCAAACAGGAUUAGAUACCCUGGUAGUCCACGCUGUAAACGAUGGAUACUAGGUGUAGGAGGUAUCGACCCCUUCUGUGCCGGAGUUAACACAAUAAGUA